GUCGUCACUGGUGACCUCCAGCAGGUCGUCGAUGUCGAUCUCCACCUCAGGCAUUUCCUCCUCCUGCAACACAAACACAGUCCUGAACAGAUGGAAACGUCGUUGUUGCGGGCUGGGCCAGCUGAAGGUUCUGUGGUUGGAGGCUGUUUUCAGAUCAGCACCACUUCAAAGAUCGUCUGGUUCCUUUACUUCACCAUAAAGACUUCAGCAGAGGAAGAAUCAAACCAUCACUCUCAGCUACCCAAUCAGCAGGCAGACGGUUCCUCCCCAAGGCUCCAGUAUCGACAGCUGGGGACCCGUCGGACCUUUGGCCUCGAAGCCUGAAGCCAAACCGGGCUAAAAACAUCAACAGCAGCCGUUCGGUCGAGACGAAACAACUGGCUAGUCGGAGGAUAACAUGGAUUUAAAACCCGCCGGUGGAUUCUAGGGUUCAGAAGGUUAAAACGUCUGAUGUGAAUCUGGUUGGAGCAGCAGCAGGAGAAACGUUGGAGGGCAAAUGAGACAGAAGAGGAGGUAAGAAGCUGGUGGGUGGACUGCAGAAGGUCAGCAAACACACCACCACCUUUGUUGUGAAACCUUCUUGCUGCUGGUUCUGCUCCUCGUCAACACCUGGGAUCUGUUCAGCAGCUCAUGCGUGAGUCUGCAGGUGCUGCGUUUAACGUGUCAACAGCAGCUCGGACGCUCAGACAGCAGCUAUUUAUAUCUGAGGAACUGAAAUGGCUGACAGAUAGAAGAGUGUGUCUCCGUCACAGAUCCAUGAACACAUGUGGGUCAGUCGUUAGAACUAAUGACUGAUUGACAGGUUUAGUCUCCCACUGGGUGAAUCUGUCACAGCGAAGUCAGUAAUCCAGUUAAUGUGGGGGAACCUCUCUUGAUGCACUGAGCCCUUCUCUAACUACCUAUGUAUUUACUAUAUAUACCAUUAUUGCAUUACAUUCACUCUGUUUCUUUCUGUGUCCUUUCUCCGAGUGUCCCUGGUCCCAGAGCUGGAUGCUGGAUGCUUCAGAUGUGUGGCUGUGUUUUAUGGUCCUUGUGUCCCACCCCCCCCCACCUCUCUAUCUCUACCUCUAUCCCUCUAUCUCUACCUCUCUACCUCUUCUGUCCCUCUCAACCCGCCCGGCCAGCAGGCAGAUGGGUCCCCCACAUUAGAGCCAGGUUCUGCUCGAGGUUUUUUUCCCUGUUAAAAGGGUGUUUUCCUGCCACUGUCGCCUUUUGGCUUGCUCUGGGGGUCAGGCAUAUGGGUUCUGUAAAGCGUCUCGAGACAAUUUGACUGUAAUUGGCGCUAUAUAAAUAAAAUUGAAUUGAAUUGAAUUGAAUGUGGAUCAUUCUGCUUCCACAUUUAUUACACUUAUUUAAUUAGUCUUUUAUAGCCGAGCCUCCUCACAUCCCAGACUAGCUGAUACCUAAUCAAACAAAAAAACAACAGAAACACACCCACAACACGACUAAAAAAAACACCAAGACAGCAACAAAGAGACACAACAUGAUCAGAAAGAGACAAAAAUGACCAGAAAGAGACACAAAAUGACCACAAAGAGACAAAAAUGACCAGAAAGAGACAAAAAUGACCAGAAAGAGAUACAAAACGACCACAAAGAGACAAAAAUGACCGGAAAGAGACACAAAACAACCACAAAGAGACAAAAAUGACCAGAAAGAGAUAAAAUGACCAGAAAGAGACACAAAACAACCACAGACACAAAAUGACCACAAAGAGACAAAAAUGACCAGAAAGAGAUACAAAACAACCACAAAGAGACAAAAAUGACCAGAAAGAGAUACAAAACAACCACAGAGAGACACAAACCAAUAAAAACCAGACACAGAAUACACAUAAAUAAAUGCAAAGUUAACACAAAAUGACCAGAAAGAGAUUAAAACUGACUAAAAAAGACUCAAAAUUAACACAAACAAAUGCAAAACCAAUGUUAAGAGAAAAUAAAGUGUCCAGUGCAGCAGGCAGAAUCUUUGUCAACAACAACAACAACAACAAUAAUAACAAUAACAAGCUUCCUUCCAGGUUCUGUUUGCUCCAUUUGGUCCCAAUAAACAACAAACACACUGACCUGAGACUGAAUAUCGUCAGUUCAUGAAGACUUCCUCUGGCUGCUCCUCACAACAACAACAACAACAGCCUCCACAGUAAACAACCCCCAAGGCUGCAUGUCGACUGUCUGCCUCCUGAAUGAGCUUCAUAAAGUAGAAAAUCACUGGUUCUCAACCAACAACACCAGAAGAAACCCUGACGUCCAGCUCUGAUGUUCUCCUGAAGAACCUCCAUGGAUGUUCUCAUCACUUCCUGUUCUUUAAUCUCCUCCAGCAGCUCAGAACCCGUCCAUCAGGGUUUCAUUUAUUAUCAAUUACUGAUCCACUGAUUCCUUCUGUCCUUUAAAUGGCCAGAAACUACAUCUACCUCAAGAAGAACCCAGGUAGAACCGCAGGACGAAGCCUUUUCAACGGCAGUAAAGGACGGGAAGUGGGUUUGGUUCAGCUGUAUUUUAUAUUUUACUUCUAAAUGCUGCAUGUUUUCAUUCAGUAUUCACCAUAUAACUAAUCUACAGCAUCUGAUAAACCAACUAAACUGGUUUUAUGAAAACCCAAGAAGCUUCAGUAGAACUUUUUAGGUUCCAGGAGAUAUUUUUUAUUCAGAAUUCUAGUAAAAAUAGGGGCAACAAAGGAGAUAGAAAUAGAUAAAAUGCUUAACUGACGUUCCAAAAAAAAAUGUCUCACUGUGGUUUGUCAUUUUCAGCCAGAAUAAACUCAAAUUUGGCAGAAAAAUCCAUAAAAAACUACAAAUCCGGCAGCAAGUGUACCAGAAAAACCUGUAUUUAAAGAUGGUAGAACAUGGUGGUGUUGAAAAACAGUGAAAACAGUAAAAAAAUAACCUCAAAUAUCUGUAAAAUAAUUACACUUUUAGCUGAUUUAAAUACAGUAAAACUAUCAUGUCAUGGCCACACAUGAUAAACAACUGAAUUACCAUUUAUAAGAAAUAUAGAUUUUUGAAGUGGAUGUUGUUUACAGUUUUCUUUGGUGUUUUUUAUCUUCAAUAUGUAAAUAAAUUUUUUUCUGUAAGUUUACUGGACAUUAUCUGCAUUUACUAUAAA